UACGAAGGGGGCUAGCGUUGUUCGGAAUCACUGGGCGUAAAGCGCACGUAGGCGGAUCGUUAAGUCGGAGGUGAAAUCCUGGAGCUCAACUCCAGAACUGCCUUCGAUACUGGCGAUCUUGGAGUCCGGGAGAGGUGAGUGGAACUCCGAGUGUAGAGGUGAAAUUCGUAGAUAUUCGGAAGAACACCAGUGGCGAAGGCGGCUCACUGGCCCGGUACUGACGCUGAGGUGCGAAAGCGUGGGGAGCAAACAGG
rnacentral:rRNA from 1 species